GGCGGCUGUAAACAAACGAACCAGGAACAACAUCAGAAAACGAACGAAGCAGUUGAUUCAAUCCACGCUGUGGGCUCUCGAGCCACAUCUGUUUGGAAUCCAGUUGACCAUGGAUUUGUAUUAUGACUUCAAGGAAGAAGAAUUUGAAGAGGUUAUUCAAAUACAAAUAAAAAGGGAAGAAGAGC